AAAGAAAUCAAUUGAAUUGAAUUCCUGCAAAAUUAUAGUUUCCAAACAGGGGCAAAUGUUUUUGUCAGAUCUUUUGGUUUGAUAAUUUGAAGUCUAAAUUUUUGAACUCAUUUUUUAUGAGUUUGUCUCAUAAUGUUGCAGUUGAAGCAUUAAUUCACCAAUCAAAUUUACAUGUUAUACGUUCACCUAAGUAGAAACUAGAGGGGAAAUGUUCUUAAGUUAUGAUAUGUAAUAUUUAUCAGACUUUAUGCAAAGAUUAGGAUGUGAAAACAAACAUCAAUGAAUUGAAACCACAGGUAUGUGAAAACAAUUCUCCAAUACACAGGUUAAUUCAUGUGGAAUGUCCUCGUGGAAAAUGUCCGUUCCCCACAAGGGAGAAGAACAAGGCACUUUGGUGAUAGGCAUCAUGUGAGCCUGCCUAUGGGAAUUUAAUACCUAAGACAUUAUUUCACCAGUUAAAAUCACAGUGGUAUCUUUAUGGCUUAAUUGCCUCUAGUACAUGGAUAUUCCUUCUGUGUUUUAAUAUUCCCUUAGAAAAAUGUGGAAGUGCUUGACUUUUAUGUUUGAGAUGAGUGAUGACAGAGACAAUUGAGAAAAAAAAAAUGCCUGUAUCGGUGGGCGAAAGCAAAUCCACUUGACCAAAACAAAUUUAUGUAAGAUAAAAUAAUUUUUUAAAAAAUAAAGAAAGUUUAUACAUGCAAGCCCACUCAUCCUGACAAUAAACAAGUUUCCACUUUCCAAAAAACAAAGGAGGGAAAUUACCUUUGAAGUGAGGCAGUAUUUGGUUCUUUCAUUCCCAGGAAAACUAUCUGAAACCAAAAACUUUCCUUCUCCGAGAAUCCUAACCCCUUCUUCAGCACAAUAGGACACCAAAUCUCCGGACCUCACCACUUCAGUCACUGAAUCCUUAGCCGGUUUUGCAAUCUCUUUGACCAGGCACUCUGCAAUGGGCGCUUUGUGCUCUUUCAAGAUUGCUGCUGCUUUGUGAAGCAAUUCGGCCCUUUUCCACAGUGGAGUCUUUGCCCAUGAUUUCUGAGCUGUUUUUGCUGUUUCUAUGAUCUUGUUCACCUCUUCUUGAGUACAAGCU
rnacentral:misc_RNA from 1 species